rnacentral:rRNA from 1 species
AUGUCCGAAUGGGGAAACCCACCCGCAAGGGUAACCGCUCCUGAAUAUAUAGGGAGAUGGUGGCAAACCGAGUGAACUGAAACAUCUAAGUAGCUCGAGGAAAAUAAAUCAACCGAGAUUCCGUAAGUAGUGGCGAGCGAACGCGGAACAGCCUGUUAUUUUUAGCACAUGCGAUAGUAGAACGGAAUGGAAAGUCCGGCCAUAGAGGGUGAUAGCCCCUUAUACGAAAUCCCGUGUGUGGAACUAGGAUAACGACAAGUAGGGCGGGGCACGAGAAACCUUGUCUGAACAUGGGGGGACCAUCCUCCAAGGCUAAAUACUCCUAACUGACCGAUAGUGAACUAGUACCGUGAGGGAAAGGCGAAAAGAACCCCUGUGAGGGGAGUGAAAUAGAACCUGAAACCGUGUACGUACAAGCAGUAGGAGCAGACUUGUUCUGUGACUGCGUACCUUUUGUAUAAUGGGUCAGCGACUUAUAUUUAGUAGCAAGGUUAACCGAAUAGGGGAGCCGUAGCGAAAGCGAGUGUUAACUGCGCGUUUAGUUGCUAGGUAUAGACCCGAAACCCGGUGAUCUAGCCAUGGGCAGGUUGAAGGUUGAGUAACAUCAACUGGAGGACCGAACCCACUAACGUUGAAAAGUUAGGGGAUGACCUGUGGCUAGGAGUGAAAGGCUAAUCAAACCGGGAGAUAGCUGGUUCUCCCCGAAAUCUAUUUAGGUAGAGCCUCGGACGAAUACUUACGGGGGUAGAGCACUGUUAAGGCUAGGGGGUCAUCCCGACUUACCAACCCUUUGCAAACUCCGAAUACCGUAAAGUACUAUCCGGGAGACACACGGCGGGUGCUAACGUCCGUCGUGAAGAGGGAAACAACCCAGACCGCCAGCUAAGGUCC